rnacentral:misc_RNA from 1 species
AACUUUCGACAACGGAUCACUUGGCUCUCGCAUCGAUGAAGAACGCAGCGAAAUGCGAUAAGUAAUGUGAAUUGCAGAAUUCAGUGCAUCAUCGAAUCUUUGAACGCAUCUUGCGCUCCUUGGUAUUCCGAGGAGCAUGCCUGUUUGAGUGUCAUUUAAAACUUCUCAACUGCAUCAAAAUUUAUUUUGAGUGCAGCUUGGAAAUGGGGGAAAAAAUUUUGCAGGUUUUAUGAAGGUCUGCUCCCCUGAAAUGUAUUAGUGGUGUCUGGGCAGACUACCACAGGUGUGAUAACUAUCAAUGCCUUGGUAUAUACUGCAGAUUGUUGCUGCUUCCAACCUAAUGACCAACUUGACCUCAAAUCAGGUAGGAUUACCCGCUGAACUUAAGCAUAUCAAUAAGCGGAGGCU